rnacentral:rRNA from 1 species
UACGGAGGGUGCAAGCGUUAUCCGGAUUCACUGGGUUAAAGGGUGUGUAGGCGGGUUAUUAAGUCAGUGGUGAAAUCUCCGGGCUCAACCCGGAAACUGCCAUUGAUACUAUUAGCCUUGAAUUCUGUUGGAGGUGGGCGGAAUAUGUCAUGUAGCGGUGAAAUGCAUAGAUAUGACAUAGAACACCAAUUGCGAAGGCAGCUCACUAAACAGCGAUUGACGCUGAGGCACGAAAGCGUGGGGAUCAAACAGGAUUAGAUACCCGGAGUA